UACGGGGGGGCAAGCGUUGUUCGGAAUUACUGGGCGUAAAGGGCGCGUAGGCGGCUCGCUAAGUCGGAUGUGAAAACUCUGGGCUCAACCCAGAGCCUGCAUUCGAAACUGACGAGCUAGAGUUCUGGAGGGGAAAGCGGAAUUCCUGGUGUAGCGGUGAAAUGCGUAGAUAUCAGGAGGAACACCGGUGGCGAAGGCGGUCUGCUGGGCUGUGGCUGACGCUGAUGCGCGACAGCGGUGGGGAGCAAACGAGG
rnacentral:rRNA from 1 species